GGCUGUGUAGUGUAGCGGUUAUCACUUCAGAUUCUGAUCCACGACUUCUGGCGACCCCGGUUCGAUUCCGGGCACGGCCU